CUGGGAUUUUGCACAGUUGAUUCCAAACUGGGGAAAAACAGGACUAAUGAAGAAAUAUAUAGUAAAAAGUGUCAUUAAUUAGCUCUUAAAUGUGUCAGCAGUCAAAGGUAGGUUACAACACAAUAGAGUUACAGCAGUGACAUUCCUAAACAACACACAUUUAUAUCGUAUACAUAGGCACACAUUCAGAUGCAUUUAUUGACACACACAAACAUAGUUAUAGACAUACAAUCCCAAGCACACAAAUGUCAACACUCAUGCACACAAACACAUCCAACACCUAUGCACACAUACACUCCACACACACGCACACACACACACACACACACACCAGGCAUUCAGCAGUCACGCCGCUCUGUAGGACUCUCCUCUGGGUGCUGCGUCCAAGGUCAGGCUUGUUGUCUCUCAGGAAACAGGGGGGAAAAAAACAGUUUCUCAGAGAGGAACAUCAGGAGGGGAAAAGUGAAUAAAACAUUUUUAUAGCAUGCACAUAUCCAUGUAUAUAUGUACACACACACACACACACACACACACACACACGUAAACAUCCCUGAAAGAGCAUCCUCCCUCUUGCAGUAUCUCUCCACAUAUUCCAGAAUUUUUUGCCAUGGAAAUUAUUCAAUCUCCACUCACAUUUAAAGCAAUGGCUAUUUUAUCCAUUUUAAAUUGAAGAUGGCGGAGAGAUUUCCUUAGCGAUUAGGGCUUUGCGUGUGUGUGUAUGUGCAUGUGUCUGUGUUGUUGAUGCUGGUGAGCUGGUAAACACACAGCUGGUCGUGCUCUUUGAUACACCAGGAGGCCUUGAGGAUAUUUCACACUUCUUUUAUACUUGUAUUCCGCUGCACACUUUCUCAUCCUAUUCUUCUCUUCACCUAAUUUGCACAAUUUUCCUCCAUCCCUCAUUGACUGCAGUGACUCAGCCAGACUAUACGCACCCCCAUCUGUGAUCAGAGGGCUGGGGAACUUUUCUAUAAGCCGGCCAGCUACGUUUUUUAUAUGCAUUUAUGAGUGUGUUUGUUCAUAUCUGUAUCCUGAUGAAACUCCAUGGAUGUAGUCCAUGGAUGUUUAUGUAUGAAUGUGUGAUUGCUCACAAGUUCUUUCUCAUUUGCUUGUGUGGUGACAAUGAUUACAGUGAUUUUUACCAAAUACUGGCAUAAUACAGCUGAAUAUGGCCAACUCCGUCUUGUCGUUUAUGGACGACUCCCCCACUGUUUGUUGACACUCAGAAAAAGAGCCAGCCAUCUCUCGCUUCACUAGAUAAUUCUCCUCUGUGGCGUAGCGGAGAGAAACUUCAUUAACCCCACUGCCACACAGCCAAUCCUGGAGAUGUGCAUGUGUAAUGUGGCUGAAAGCAGCCUUUUAACGCUGUAAACACUAACUUGCUAAACGUCAGGAUGUAUUACACACUCCAGCUAAAUCGUAAAGAGCUGGUCUACAGCUUGUGUUUCAUGGGCUGUGGAUAAGUGCAAAAAUUAUGUAAUAAAUAUUAUAUGAAUGCAGAUAUGUAGUUUCAGUAACAAUGCACUCACAUUACACAGUCCCAUGAAACAUUUGUAUGUUGAAUUUACGUUGACAUGACACUUUGCAUCAGUGAAACAACCCUGCAUCCAGUACCAAAGUGAAAGUGAAAACAAUAUACAUAAUUGUUAUCGUCUUGGAAACAUGGGUCUGUCUUUUUCUUGUCAGUUCAAUUAUGUGUUUUAAAACAGUUUUCACUGAUUUUUCAGGUCACUUGGGGGCAGCCAUAACAAUCUCUUUUUAAGUUUAUAUGGUGAAACCACUGACAGUAUAUAGUGGACAGAGCUUCGGGUCUGUGUAUUAAGCCUGCAUUC
rnacentral:lncRNA from 15 species